rnacentral:tRNA from 2 species
CCUUUUCUUAUUAUUAGCGGAGUUAUCUUUCU